rnacentral:rRNA from 1 species
GAUUAACGUUGGCAGUGCGCCUAACACAUGCAAGUCGAGUGAUAUAGCGGCAGACGAGAGAGUAAUAGUAAGGAACUUACCCCCGAGUGAAGGAUAGCCAGCCGAAGGGUUGGGUAAUCCUGCAUAAUAUCGAAAGAUCAAAGCCUUCGGGCGCUUGGGGAGAGGCCUUACUCCUAUCAGCUAGUUGGUGAGGUAAAGGCUCACCAAGGCGAUGACGGGUAGCUGGUCUGAGAGGAUGAUCAGCCUCGAUGGGACUGAGACACGGCCCAUACUCCUACGGGAGGCAGCAGUUGGGGAUUUUGCACAAUGGAGGAAACUCUGAUGCAGCGACACUGCGUGAAGGAUGAAGGUUUUCGGAUCGUAAACUUCUUUUAGUGGGGAGUAAUCUUGAAGUACCCACUGAAUAAGGACCGGCUAACUACGUGCCAGCAGCCGCGGUAAU